rnacentral:lncRNA from 1 species
ACAGACAUUGGGCUCUACUAUGAGGCCCAAGUACAUCUUGGAGAAAUAGAAGAGAAAGAGAAAGGAUGUGGGCACAAUGAAGGGAGGCAGAACUGGAAAUUCAAGUGUAUGGAGAAACAGCCAGAAGUGAGUAGCCAAUGAUGCCACCUGUGACCAUGGUGAGGCACAAUUGGCAUAUUUGGGAUGGAGAGAUUUACCACAACAUACAUCUACACAAUAGAAUACUGGUAAGCUAUUUGAAAAUUAAGACGU